rnacentral:lncRNA from 1 species
AGGAGGACUGCAGCAUGCCCAGGGACAGCCACAGCCUGGCUAGGGGCCUGGCUCAAGUGAGCUCUACGAGGAGACGGUGACAGUGGCUGUGUUGAGUGUACUGUUCCUGGUGAAGUUGAACUUGUUGAGCGUCUCCUCCAGCAGAGAAGUCAGGCGGCUCUGAUCAGCCUGGGGAAGCAGCUCAGUAAGGCAGGGCUGAGAGAGGGGGGGCAGGGAGGCACCCAGAACACAGGCAGGACCCUCACCUCACUAAUGAAGCCCAGCUGCACCAGCUCAGCUGCCAAGUCCGGGAUGCUCUCAUCUGACAGAGAGACAGGAGGGGUGCUUGAAUACAGUCUGGGAGGAUCAGAGCCCUGUCAAGUACUGUCCCUGUCCCUGUCCCUGACAUGUCCCCUCAAGGGAUAUGGCUCAUAGAUCCUCCCUCCUCCAAAAGAAAGGAGAGGCUCACUUGGCAUCAGGUCACAGCUCAGGUGCCGGUUCAAUUUGUCCUCCAGCUUCAGCAGAAGUGUUAGCUAGAAAAAGGACAAUCAGAAUGAGGCUCCUUCUCCCCAGCAGGCCGCGUGGUCAGCCCUGGGAAGCCCCGCCCUGAGCUUACAUGGUGUUUGACUCCCUCCUCCACAGAUUCGAUGUUGCACUGCAUCAGCACCACCUGAACAGGACAGACAAGGAGGACAGUCUAGAGACUGCUCAGUGACACCCCUGAGACUUUCCGGCCCACGGAAGAAAACGGUGGCCAGCAGGCAGAAAUGCAUUCCAUACAGGACAGUGCCUUAGUUAAGAUGUCUCUAUCCCCAUGGCCAAAAAUACAAUCAUACCAGAGUCCCCACCUUUCGUGUCUCCACUUCAGCUGGCUCAGGAGUUGGAGUCUUGACAGAGGGGGGCACAACAGGUGAUGUCACCUCCUCCUGCUGUGGCUGCUGAGGCCGAGGUAGCCCAAAGGCUGUCAGAGGGUAGAUCCCAUUCCUGGUGGGAGAUGAUAUAAGUCACACAGACUCUGUGAAAGCUUCAAGACACCUGUCCCUACUUCCUCCCAGAAGCCCACCCUAUCUCACCUGACAUCUUCAAGGAAUUUGUCUAAUUCUAGGGCUGGUGACUGAGAGUACCUGGAAGAAAAAGUAAAUAACAUGAGACUCACUCUACAGAGCCUUGGAUGGUAGUGACCAAUCUAUCCCUUUCAGACCCUCAGCUGGUUACUCACAAAGUCUGAACUGGUUCUCGUCCUGGCCCUGCGGGAAUUUCAGCUAGUACAGCACUGGUAUCCAUGUUCUUGGUGAUCUCCUCUAGAGCGUUCUCUGGGAUCAUGUCUGGUGGGUAUAAUGGGGUGGAAUAUUAUGUGAAGACACAUCUGUUUCACACUAGGCAGAGGACAGGGGUAAAAGAAUCCCUUUGGUAACAGAAAACUAAAGACCCCAUGCCAGUGAUGCCCCACGCUGAAUGGAAACUCCUGGUAAUCUUUUUAUAGCAUGGACUCAGUCCCAGGACCAAUUCCUAGCAGUGUCAAGGUGACUCACGUUGGUGCCCCACGAUACAGUGAGCAGCAAGAAGCUUGAGUGAGGGCACUUCAAACAGUGCUGGGUGGAACAGAAGUUCUCUGGCUGUUGGUCUCCGAGCAGGCUCAGACUGCAGGCACUUUUGAAUAAACUCCUGUUAAGAGAACAAGAAACUGGAACAGGCAUCUGGCAAGACUAUUACAUCUGUAUGACUUUCAUUAGAUCUAGCAAAAUGUUCCCUACAUGCUUGGAAUUCAACUUUAUUGGGGAAACAUUGAUGUAUUUCCUGAUAGGGCUUUAUAUCUAUAUGGUAAUGUAUAAACAUAUCU